rnacentral:rRNA from 1 species
UGGGGAAUAUUGCACAAUGGGCGCAAGCCUGAUGCAGCCAUGCCGCGUGUGUGAAGAAGGCCUUCGGGUUGUAAAGCACUUUCAUCGGGGAGGAAGGCGGUGAGGUUAAUAACCUCACCGAUUGACGUUACCCGCAGAAGAAGCACCGGCUAACUCCGUGCCAGCAGCCGCGGUAAUACGGAGGGUGCAAGCGUUAAUCGGAAUUACUGGGCGUAAAGCGCACGAAGGCGGUCUGUCAAGUCGGAUGUGAAAUCCCCGGGCUCAACCUGGGAAAUGCAUUCGAAACUGGCAGGCUAGAGUAUGGUAGAGGGGGGUAGAAUUCCAGGUGAAGCGGUGAAAUGCGUAGAGAUCUGGGGGAAUACCGGUGGCGAAGGCGGCCCCCUGGACAAAGACUGACGCUCAGGUGCGAAAGCGUGGGGAGCAAACAGG